AUACGGAGGGUGCAAGCGUUGUUCGGAAUCACUGGGCGUAAAGGGCGCGCAGGCGGUUUGGUAAGUCAGAUGUGGAAGCCCACGGCUCAACCGUGGAAGUGCAUUUGAAACUGCCAGACUUGAGUACCAGAGGGGAAAGUGGAAUUCCCGGUGUAGAGGUGAAAUUCGUAGAUAUCGGGAGGAAUACCGGUGGCGAAGGCGACUUUCUGGCUGGAUACUGACGCUGAGGCGCGAAAGCGUGGGGAGCAAACAGGAUUAGAAACCCGUGUAGUCC
rnacentral:rRNA from 1 species